CCUACGGGAGGCAGCAGUGAGGAAUAUUGGUCAAUGGCCGCAAGGCUGAACCAGCCAAGUCGCGUGAAGGAUGAAGGAUCUAUGGUUUGUAAACUUCUUUUAUAGGGGAGUAAAGGUAUCCACGUGUGGCUAUUUGCAUGUAACCUAUGAAUAAGCAUCGGCUAACUCCGUGCCAGCAGCCGCGGUAAUUCGGAGGAUGCAAGCGUUAUCCGGAUUUAUUGGGUUUAACGGGUGCGUAGGUUGUUUUUUAAGUCAGCGGUGAAAGGUUGUGGCUCAACCAUAAAAUGGCCGUUGAAACUGGAAGACUUGAGUGUGUUUGAGGUAGGCGGAAUGCGUGGUGUAGCGGUGAAAUGCAUAGAUAUCAGGCAGAACACCGAUUGCGAAAGCAGCUUACUAAGCCAUAACUGACACUGAAGCACGAAAGCGUGGGGAGCAAACAGGAUUAGAUACCCUGGUAGUC
rnacentral:rRNA from 1 species